rnacentral:lncRNA from 1 species
AGGUUCCAAACAGGCAUGCGAGGUGCCUUUGGGAAGCCCCAGGGCACUGUGGCCAGGGUUCACACUGGCCAAGUUAUCAUCUCCAUUCACACCAAGCUGCAGAACAAGGAGCAUGUGAUUGAGGCCCUGCGCAGGGCCAAGUUCAAGUUUUCUGGCCGCCAGAAGAUCCACAUCUCAAAGAAGUGGGGCUUCACCAAGUUCAAUGCCAAUGAGUUUGAAGACAUGGUGACUGAGAAGCGGCUCAUCCCAGAUGGCUGUCGGGUCAAGUACAUUUCCAAUCGUGGCCCUGUGGACAAGUGGCGGGCCCUGCACUCAUGA